ACUUUUUGUGGCUGUGGGAUAAAUUUUGCUCGAAAUUAGCCACCAGUACACGCCGAUUCGUUUCUCUUUUUUCUUUUCCCCUACCUUCUCCUCCCCCGCGGCCCCUCCGCGUCUGGCGACUCGCGACCGAGACCCGUCGGCGCAGGUCCCGGCGCCCUUCUCCGGCCGCACCUUCUCUCGGCUCUCGACCCCUCCGGCCCCCUGCCGCCCUGCAGACGCACUUGGCCCCCUGCAGACGCUCCCCUGCAGGCGCUCCCCAGCAGACACCCCCUGCCGGCGGCCCUCAAUUAUGUUUAUUAUUUUUUCCAUUUAUUUUUUCAUGCUUAUAUGAUCUGACUCGCUAAGUUUAUCAAAUUUUUUCAGAGAUGCAAUGAUCCUAGCAAAGGCAUCAAAUGCAACCAUACGAGGUUUAAGAAAGAAGGACCGAAGUAUCUUAAUGAUGUGCACGUCUUGUUUGAUAAGACACAUGUUAGCGGUGUCAGUGCAUGGUGUUCCGGAGAUAUAUCCUCGAAUGAGUCAAUUGGUGAUGAUGCGGUUGAGAUAAAAAAAUUUAGAUUAUAAAAAUGUGAAGUUGUCUUCUUUGAAUAAUUCAAAACUAGAAAAAAGAACGCAAGGAGUACACUAGUGCUAUUGAGGAGAAGGAAGAGAAGAGCCGAUUCUAUAGACGGUACAUGAACACUUUUUGAAGAUAGAAAUUCCAACAGAGAAGAUCUCCACAAGUAUUGAAGUAUCAUCGGCACCUCCUAGCCAACCAAGUCCCAAGUCCCAAGUAUUAAAGAGGCUAUGAAGAUUGUGAAAGAUUGUGAGGUGCAAGAAAUAACUACUUUCCUCAUCAUCAAGCCUGAUUUUAGAGAGGUCUUUAGUAUCCUAGAAAUAAAUAAAGGAAUGUUGGAUUUUCUUAAGAAGAAGCAUGAAAAGAAGAUGCUGAGGCAUCUGUAGAAUCUUUUCAGUUAUUAAUAUUUAUUUAUUUCUAUGUUAAGAACCCUUAGUUUAUAUAAAAUACUAUGUGCUUCUGUUA